rnacentral:rRNA from 1 species
GCAGUCGAGGGGUAUUGGUUUUCGGACCAGAGACCGGCGCACGGGUGCGUAACGCGUAUGCAAUCUACCUUUCACAGAGGGAUAGCCCAGAGAAAUUUGGAUUAAUACCUCAUAGUAUGCAGAGUUGGCAUCAACACUGCAUUAAAGUCACAACGGUGAAAGAUGAGCAUGCGUCCCAUUAGCUAGUUGGUAAGGUAACGGCUUACCAAGGCUACGAUGGGUAGGGGUCCUGAGAGGGAGAUCCCCCACACUGGUACUGAGACACGGACCAGACUCCUACGGGAGGCAGCAGUGAGGAAUAUUGGUCAAUGGGCGCAAGCCUGAACCAGCCAUGCCGCGUGCAGGAUGACGGUCCUAUGGAUUGUAAACUGCUUUUGUACAGGAAGAAACAACAUUACGUGUAAUGUCUUGACGGUACUGUAAGAAUAAGGAUCGGCUAACUCCGUGCCAGCAGCCGCGGUAAUACGGAGGAUCCAAGCGUUAUCCGGAAUCAUUGGGUUUAAAGGGUCCGUAGGCGGCUUAGUAAGUCAGUGGUGAAAGCCCAUCGCUCAACGGUGGAACGGCCAUUGAUACUGCUAGACUUGAAUUAUUAGGAAGUAACUAGAAUAUGUAGUGUAGCGGUGAAAUGCUUAGAGAUUACAUGGAAUACCAAUUGCGAAGGCAGGUUACUACUAAUGGAUUGACGCUGAUGGACGAAAGCGUGGGUAGCGAACAGGAUUAGAUACCCUGGUAGUCCACGCCGUAAACGAUGGAUACUAGCUGUUGGGAGCGAUCUCAGUGGCUAAGCGAAAGUGAUAAGUAUCCCACCUGGGGAGUACGUUCGCAAGAAUGAAACUCAAAGGAAUUGA